rnacentral:antisense_RNA from 1 species
GGACGUUGGAGGGGCGGCCGCAUGGCGUGAUUACUGUCUCUGGCCACCGAGCAGAGCCAGUGACAGCAGCGUUCUGGUAGGCAGGCAGGCGUAUCAGGUUUCAGAGGAUGCGGCUGGGAACGGGAGUAGAGGUGAGGGGUCGUUGCAUCUGUCGCGGUGUGUAUCUUUUGGGGGUUCAGCGCCACCAGCGACUUGGGCCUCAUUCAUCGCGCUUACAAUUCUCCACCUCAUUUGAAGAACAAGCUUCGUAGCCCACGGAGCUGAGGUAUAUGAGCUCCCUGAAAGCACAAAGCAGUUAUUUCCAUCUUCAGAUCAUUCAGAGAUUAUGAAGGCACAAACCCUGCCUUCAAUUUGCUUAUAGUCAAGUGGAGCAGACACAAGUAAAUGAUUGCAGUAUAGCCACUUAAGUAAUCUAAAAGAGGUGGGGAGGCCACAGCUUGUAUGAAUGACUUUCUCAGGAGUUAUAAAGUGAUACAGACUUAUCAGCAGGUUGCAGGUGAACAUGGCCUUGAGAUGUUUUCUUCUAAAUAAAUGAGAAAGAUGUUUCAACAAAGGCUCUUUAUGCUGAAUAAUUGUGAUGCUUGAAGUUGCUAAUCUGCUUUAAGUGGAUUUUAAAUGUCAGGCAAUUCUAGACAGUUUUUUCUUGGUCAAAUAAAAAUUUAAUUAAAACUUUA